rnacentral:rRNA from 1 species
GAUGAACGCUGGCGGCGUGCCUAAUACAUGCAAGUCGAGCGAACGGACGAGAAGCUUGCUUCUCUGAUGUUAGCGGCGGACGGGUGAGUAACACGUGGAUAACCUACCUAUAAGACUGGGAUAACUUCGGGAAACCGGAGCUAAUACCGGAUAAUAUUUUGAACCGCAUGGUUCAAAAGUGAAAGACGGUCUUGCUGUCACUUAUAGAUGGAUCCGCGCUGCAUUAGCUAGUUGGUAAGGUAACGGCUUACCAAGGCAACGAUGCAUAGCCGACCUGAGAGGGUGAUCGGCCACACUGGAACUGAGACACGGUCCAGGCUCCUACGGGAGGCAGCAGUCGGGAAUCUUCCGCAGUGGGCGAAAGCCUGACGGAGCAACGCCGCGUGAGUGAUGAAGGUCUUCGGAUCGUAAAACUCUGUUAUUAGGGAAGAACAUAUGUGUAAGUAACUGUGCACAUCUUGACGGUACCUAAUCAGAAAGCCACGGCUAACUACGUG